ACGUGAUCUGAGUUCAGACCGAAGUAAUUCAGGUCAGUUUCUAUCUAUAAGGGGUGUUUUCUAGUACGAAAGGAUCGAAAAACCGCAGCCAAUAUUAUAAACAAGCCGCCUCCUAAAAAUUUAUGAACACAACUCAAUAAUUUAUUAAACCCCUCAUUAUACCACAGAAAAAGGUA
rnacentral:rRNA from 1 species